CCAAUAAUGCAUUAGCUGAUUCCUUGCUGGGCCAUGCUGACCAAUUUCAAGGACUGAAUGCAAGUGCUGUCUUUAGUGUGAGAUCUAAAGAGCCAUUGAUCUGGGGGUUUCUGGAGAGAGAGAAACCACUCUGAGAAAGUGGGCUUGGGGCAAGAGGGAGGAACAAUGCAUGGUGUUCAUUGUCCUCCAUGAUGUGACUGACCUUUUGGUUAACCAAGAGGUUCAACUAACCAGAGGACCAGAGGGCUGGGCCAAUGGGAAGUGCUGCACCGAAUUUCUACCCUUUCUCCUGCCAUUUUACAGAUGGGGUAAAUAAGGCAUGGAGAGG